UUUAGUUUUGGUUCAUUUAGGGCCAUCAUCAUGUGCAGUUGAGUUCCAUUGAGUAUUUCGGAAUGUAGUUUUCCAGUUUCCCAGCCGGCUAGGUUGAUUCCAGCCCGGCGAAUGUGAUGGUGUAUCGUGAACCCCGGCGAUUUUCUCGCUGUUUCUAAGCGAAUCGUCGUUAUAAUUUCAUACCAAUUUUGGUAUCAACUAAUUUCUUUUAAGCACUCAGAACCAGAAGUAUGAGAGAAGAGUUUCGAUUUUCGCAUUACUAUGUUUAACAGUGCAGUUAAAACAUGGAGUAUGCUCACAUACUUUAUUUUGGUCAAAGUUAAUGAACUUUUGAUAAUCUUGUUCGAGUAAAAGUAAAUUUUGUUCCAGUUUAUUGAACUUUAAAUGAUUUUGUUCGAGGUUAACUAAAUAAUUUUGUUUGAGUUGAAUGCUGAAUUUUCUAUAAUUUCUUUUAUAAACAAUGGAUAACCUUAUGUACUGUUUGCUGUAGCUAUUAACAGUGAAGUGUUUUCUCGCGUAGUGAAAUAGCGUUUUGGACUUACCAACCAACCAACAGAAGAAAACAGGACAUUCAUUGUAAAGGUAUAAUUUUUAUGCUUGUAAAACUUUUUCGUUCCAUCUUUGUUUAUUUGAUAAUCUAGAUCUCUAAUUGUAACACAGAGAUCAGAGAUUCAUUUUGUUUUGCUUUUUAAUAAAUAAUGUUUGAUUUUCAACA
rnacentral:lncRNA from 1 species